rnacentral:misc_RNA from 1 species
UUUCUCUGAUGAAUCAAUCAGAAUAAAUGUCAAAACAUGAGACCAAUUAGUGAUAAGAAUACCUAAAUGAAGCUGCAGUAUACUUUUUCCUCUCAAACAUUUAUUUGAUGAGAGUGUAACAACAUAACGUUUCUUAUGAGAGUAGGGUAGGUACUGGAUUGCGCAAACUGUUGUAAAUCAAUGAGUAGGACCAAGUUGUUAAAAUAUUGGUGGUAGAUAGAGCUAAACCUUUCCAUAAAAACAUUCGACUUCUAGACAUAUUACGUUCAUUUACUGAA